CUGCGCCCUUUCAAGAAGAGUGAAUAUAGUGUGAUCCAUUAUAAGUUCAUUAUUAACUGCAUUGAAGUUCCGGCUUUAACUAAUAUUUUACUCCUUCCAGCCAGUGACAAUGGCUUCAAAGACAUUCAGAGAAAUGUUUACAUUUGCUAGUAAAGAUGUAACGGAAUGGUUCCCUGGCCACAUGGCAAGAGGGCUUAAAAGA